GACGAAGGGGGCUAGCGUUGUUCGGAAUUACUGGGCGUAAAGCGCGUGUAGGCGGUUGCCAAAGUCGGGUGUGAAAGCCUUGAGCUUAACUCAAGAAAUGCACUCGAUACUUGGUGACUAGAGGACCGGAGAGGAUAGUGGAAUUCCCAGUGUAGUGGUGGAAUACGUAGAGAUUGGGAAGAACACCAGUGGCGAAGGCGGCUAUCUGGACGGUUUCUGACGCUAAGACGCGAAAGCGUGGGGAGCAAACAGG
rnacentral:rRNA from 1 species